CACUGAGCAAAGCCAGGGAUUGAACCUACAUCCUCAUGGAUGCUAAGUCACUUCAUUUCCUCAGAUUCGUUUCCACUGAGCCAUGAUGGGAACUUGUAAUUUAUGCCAUUUUAAUUACAGUGAGUUUUGUUGUAUUCCUCUUUGAGUUGAUUCUUUUUGGGACUCUUGUACUUCCUUGGAUGUAGAUGUCGGUUUCCUUUCCUAGAUUAGAGACGUUUUCAGGUAAUGUAGCUUCAACUAUGUUCUCUGCCCUUUCUCUCUCUCCUCUCUUCUGAGACCCCUAGAAUGUGAAUGUUAGUAUCCUUGAUGUUGUCUCAGAGGUCUCUUAAAAAGUCCUCAUUUCUUUUAUCUGUUCAGCUGUAGUGAUUUUCACUACUCUGUCUUCCAGCUCAUUGAUGCAUUCCUCUGUAUUGUUUCAUCUACUGUUGAUUCUUUCUAGUAUAGUUUUUAUUUGGUUUAUUGUAUUUUUGGUCUUUGUUCUGUAUAUUUUCUUUUUAUUAAAAACUUAAAACCUUUCACUCAUUCAUUCUUCUCUUGAGUCCUCUGGUCAUCUUUAUGAUCAUUACCGUGAACUCUUGCUCAGGUAGAUUGCUUAUCUCUACUUAGUUCUUCUGGGGUUUUAUCUUAUUUCUCUAUUUGGAAUAUGUUCCUCUGUUGCCUCAUUUUCCCCAACUUGCUGUUUUUAUUUCAUUGUAGAUGGCAGUCACUUGUGUUUCCUAACCUUGAAGAAGUGGCCUUUUGUAGAAGACGUCCUAUGAGUCCCAGCAGUACACUCCUCUUUGGUCACCAGUGCUAUGUGCUCUGGUGAGCUCCACUUGCUUCCUAUAUCUCCAAGAGACUCUCCAAGAUCAUCACCAGACUUUAUGAUCUGUUCUGCAGCAGAAGUGAGAAGAAAACAGAAGACGGUGGAUCAAGAUGGCGAAGUAGCAGGAUGGUGGGUGGCACUCACCUCCCACCAAACACAUCAAAAAUACAUGUACACGUGGAACAGAAAAUUAACUGAAAGAAAAUCUCCUAUACAACCAGGGCUGCAAGAACAAUUCUCACAUAAUCAGGUAGGACUAGGAAAAAUAUUGGGUUGGGACCCGUGCCCCUGGGAGGAGACUAAGAGGAAAAGGGAGUUUGCGUAGGUAGAUGCUCAUCCUGGGGAAUGAGCAGUUCAAGCCAUAGACGGGGCAUCCCAAUCCUGGGGUCCUACGUGGAAGAGACACCCCCUGCCCCCCACCUUAGAGAACCACUAAGACAGAGGGAAGGGCUGGAGAAGCCUAGACUCCACUUGCCAGGAGUGUGCAAGGGCUGGCUUGCCACCAGACAGGGCAGAGAAAGGUUGGUUUGCCCUAGCACCUCUCACUUUGCCACACUCUUAAAUCCAGGUUGAGUUAACCUUUUGGCCUGCUCACUCCACAUCACAGCUUGGCACUGGACCUAGGGCAGCCAGGUCUUAGGAAAGGAUGUGAUUUAUUGAUGAAGAGGUGGCCCAGGGACCCAGGGUAUGGUCCUGGUGGGGAAGUGAUGGGUAGUGGUGCUUACUCAAACAGUGCCACAGAAACAGAUCAGUGUCUGGAGGCAGUGCAGCUGCUCAAACUCCUGCAAGGAACACACUGCAGUGUCCCCCCAGCAACUGAAUGGAUGUUCCAGACCACCCGCCUACACCACAGCCUUGCUCUGGAAUGACCACAGCAGGGGAAAAGAUGCUACCUUGGCCUUCAUCUGAGCAGAGCUGCGGACUCCUACACAGGUAGUAAGUACAUCACACCUCUCUAAGCACAUGAGCCUCACGUACUUCUACACUCUUCUCCUUUGGGGCAAAGGCCCCAGUUUAGGGAGAAGGAAGAACACACACUUAAAUGGAACAGACCCAGCAACUUGGGAGCAAACCCCACGCCUGACAGGGUGGCCUCUGGCACUGAACAGAAAUGGAAGUCCUGCCUCACACCCUACACAGGCUCUAGCUCCUCCAUCACCAGCCACAUCCCUUUAUCAAGUGAUAGUGGCCACAACAGCCCGAGGGAAGAUGUGGCUGGUGUCCACGUCGGAUCUCGUCCUCACACCAAAGACACUGGGCACAUACAGUCCACACAGGGACACUCCCACAUACAAACACCCAAUAGGAAAGGAAAAUAUAAAUAAGCAUUGAAGAUCACUUAAGCCAGUAUGUAGAUUUAAAACCAAACCAAAAAUUUAUAAAAGUGAUUUUAACUAAAAUAAACAAUAAAGAGAUCAGCAUUGAGAAGUAAAAUAUGUAGAAGACAAUGUGGGGGAGGGGAGUAAAAAUGUAGAUCUUUUAGAAUAUGUUUGAAUUUAUCAGUUUAAAGCAAAUAGGUAUAAUUACUGUCAACAUGUAUGAACCCCAUGAUAACCACAAAUCAAAAACCUACAACAGAUACACACAAACUAAAAAGAAGGGAAUGCACGCACACCACCACGCAGUGGAGUUCCCAUGGCGGCUCAGUGGAAACGAAUCUGACUAGUAUCCAUGAGGACACAGGUUUGAUCCCUGGCCUUGCUUAGUAGGGUAAGGAUCUGGUGUUGCCGUGAGCUGUCAUAUAGGUCACAGACUCGGCUCAGAUCUAGCUUUCCUGUGGCACAGGCCAGCAGUUAAGCUCUGAUUUGACCCCUAGCCUGAGAACCUCCGUAUGCCCCAGGUGUGGCCCUAAAAAGAAAAAUUAAACAGAACUACAAAAACAACUGGGAAAUAAGGAAUAGGAUGGCAAAUAGUACAUACCUAUUGAUAACUAAAUGUCAGGGGACUAAAUAUUCUAAUCAAAAGACAUAGACUUUUAAAAAAGACCCUUCAAUAUGCUGCCUACAAAAGACUCACUUCAGGGCAAAAGAUGCACAUAGACUGAAAGUUUAAGGAAGGAAAAAGGUAUUUCAUGCAAAUGGGAAUGACAGUAGUGCAGGGUAGCAAUAUUCAUGUAAGACAAAAGAGACUUUAAAACAAAGGCCAUAAGGAAAAAUAAGGGCAUUAUAUUAAAGAUAAAAUGAUUGAAACAAGAAGAGGAUAUUACGUUUGUUAACAUAUAUGCACCCAGUACAGGAGCACCUAAAUAUAUAAAGCAACUACUGACAGACGUAAAGGGAGAAACUGACAGUAACGCCCUAUAGACAUUAAUGGAGAGAUGAUCUAGAGAGAAAGUCAGUAAGGAACAAAAGUCCUAAAUGACACAAUAGACUAGCUGGACUUCAUUUAUGUCUCAGGACACGACAUCAAACUUCUCAAGUGUGCAUAGAAUGUUCUCCAGGAUAAAUCACAUACUAGGUCACAAAAGAAGCCUCAACAAUUAUAAGAGGAUAGCAAUUAUAGCAAACAUUUUUCCCAGCCAUAGUGGUAUGAAACUAGAAAACAGCUACAGAAAGAAAAAUGGGAAAAGAACAAACACAUGGUGACCAAACAAUGUACUACAAAAAAAAUCAGUGGAUAAAUGAUGAAAUCAGAGGAGGAAAUCAGAAAAUACCUUGAGACAAAUGAAAAUGAAAAGACAGAUUUUCAAAAUCUGUGCAGUGCAACAAAAGCAGUUCUAAGAGGGGAUUUAAUAGUGAUACGGGUCUCCCCUAAGAAACAAGAAAAAAAUCUCAAACAACCUAACCUACCACCUAUAAUUAGAAAAGUAACAAACAAAAUUGAAAGUUAGCAGAAGGAAGGAAAUAAUCAAGAGCAGAGAGGAAAUAUAUAAAAUAACAGUAGAAAAGAUCAAUAAAACCAAUAGAAAAGAUCACUAAAACCAAAUAUAAAUAAAAUUAAUAAACUUUAGGCUCACUGUGGAAAAAAAAAGACCCUAGUAAAUAUGAGAUAAAAGAAGAGAAAUUACAACUGAUACCCACAGAGAUACAAAGAAAUCAUAAGGGAAUACUAUGCAUAUAUAUGCAAACAAAUUGGACAAUCCAAAAGAAAUGUAGAAAUUUCUAGGAAUAGCCUGCCAAGACUAAGUCAAGAAGAAACAAUUUGAAGAGACUAAGUACUAGAAGUGAAAUAGAAUCUGUAAUGAAAAAACUCUCAGCAGACAAUAAAGAAAACACUGGACACAAUUCAGGAUCCAUUCAUGAUAAAAGCUCUUACCAAAAGUGGCUAUAGAGGGAACAUAUCUCAACACAGCAAAGUCCGUUUAUGACAGACCCACAGCCAACAAAAUACUUAACGGUGAGAAGCUAAAAGCCUUCUGCCAAAUUGAACCAGAAAAGGAUGCCCAAUCUUGCUGCUUCUAUUUAGCAAAGUAUUGGAAGUCCUAGCCACAGCAUCCCAUGAGAAAAAGACAUAAAAGGAUAUCCAAAUGGGAACUGUCGCUUUAUACAGAUAACAUGAUACUAUGUAGAGAGAACCCUAAAGUCUCCAUAUAAAAACUAUUAGAGCUGAUAAAUGAAUUCAGCAAGGUUGCAGGAUACAAGAUUAACAUACAGUAUCUGUUGCAUUUCUAUACACUAAUAAUGAAAUAUUAGAAAGUUAAAAAAUAAUCCCAAUUAAUCAUAUCCCAAAAGAUACCUAGGAAUAAACUUAAUCAAGGAGGUUAAAGACCUGUACUCUGAAAUCUAUAAAAUACUGAUGAAGGAAAUUGAAGAUAAUUCAAAGAAAUGGAAAGUUAUCUCAUGCUCUUGGAUUGGAAGUAUUAAUGUUAUUAAAAUGGCCAUACUAUCCAAAGCAAUCUAUAUACGUAAUGCAAUCCCUAUCAGACUACCCAGAACAUUUUUCUGGAACUAGAACAAAUAAUCCUAUAAUUUAUAUGAAAACAGAAAAGAUCCUAAAUUGCCAAAGCAAUCCUGAGACAAACUGGAAGAGAACAAAGCUGGAAGUAUAACCCUCCCAGACUUUAGACCAUACAGCAAAGUACAGUUAUAAAAACAGCAUGGUAUUGGCACAAAUACAAAUGCAUAGAUCAAUGGAAAAGAACAGAGAGCCCAGAAAUAAACCCAUACACCUACAGUCAAUCUACAACAAAGGAAACAAGAAUAUACAAUGGAGAAAAGAGAAUCUCUUCAGCAAGUGAUGUUGGGAAAGCUGAACAGCCACAUGUAAAACAAUGAGGUUGGAACAUUAUCUCAUACCAUAUAAAAAAAUAAGCUCAAAAUGGUUUAAAGUCCUAAAUCUAAAACCUAAAGCCUUAAAACUAGAAAAUAAGCAGAACACUCUUUAACAUCAUAGCAAUAUUUUCUUGGAUCAGUUUUCAAAGGCAAAAGAAAUAAACAAAUAGCACCUAAUUAGAUUCGAACAGCCUUUCCUUGCACAGCCAAGGAAACCAUCAAAACAAAAAGACAGCCCGUGAAAUGCGAAAAACAUUGGCAAAUGAUGCAACUGACAAGGGGUUAAUAUCCAAAAUAUAUAUACAGUUCAUAUAACUCUAAUUUAAAAAUUAUUUGGAAAAAUAGAUAUUUUACAGAUGGCUAACAGGGAUAUGAAAAGAUGCUCAACAUCACUAAUUAUUAGAGAAAUGCAAAUCAAAACCAACAAUGAGGUGUCACCUCACACCUGUCAGAAUGGCUGACAUCAAAAAGUCUACAAAUUACAAGUUGGAGAGGAUGUGGAAAAAAGGGAACCCUCUUAUACUGUUGGUGGGAAUGUAAACUGGUACAACUGUUACGGAGAAUGGUAUGGAGGUUCCUUAAAAGACUGAAAAUAGAACUACCAUAUGAUCUAGCAGUUCCACUCCUGGGUGUAUAUUUGGAAAAAACAAAAACACUAAUUCGAAAAGACAUAGACACCCUAAUGUUCACAGAAGCACUAUUUAUAAUAGCCAAGAUAUGGAAGCAACCAAAGUGCCCAUCAACAGUUGACUCAAUUAAGAAGAUAUGACACACACAUGUGCACACACAGAGGAGUAUUACUCAGCCAUAAAGAAACUCUAUGUUCAGCAACGUGGAUAUACCUAGAGACUAUUAUGCUUCUUGAAAUAAACACAAAUACUAUGUAUCACUUCUAUGUGGAAUUAAAAAAAAAUACUCAUGAAUGUAUAUACAAAACAGAAAUAGGAUCACAGAUAUAGAAAACAAAUGUGUGGUUACCAAAGGAGGAGGGAAGUAGGAAUAAAUGAUUGAUAGGUAUGGGAUUAACAUUCAGACAACUGUAUACAUAAUAGAUGAGUGACAAGGAUAUACUGCAGAGCACAAGGAACUGUAUACAUUAUCUUGUAAUAACUAUAAUGGAAUAUAAUCUGCAAAAAUAUUGAAUCAUUGUGCUGUAUGCCUGAAACUAACACAGUAAUAUAUCAGCCAUAAUUCCAUUAAAAAUUCAUUGCCAUAAAAUGCUAUUUUGUAUACCCAGAGGUGAUUUUUGGAAAGGUCAAAAAAGAAGAAUAAAUACC